GGCUCAGCGGUCUAGUGGUAUGAUUCUUGCUUUGGGUGCGAGAGGCCAUGGGUUCGAUUCCCGUCUGAGCCC
rnacentral:tRNA from 1 species